AACAGACGCUGGCGGCGUGCCUAACACAUGCAAGUCGUACGAGAAAGGGUCCUUCGGGACCUGAGUAAAGUGGCGCACGGGUGAGUAACGCGUGGAUAAUCUACCCCUCAGUUGGGAAUAACUCAUCGAAAGGUGGGCUAAUACCGAAUGAUACUGCAAAACCUUGGUUGAGCAGUCAAAGAGCGCCUCUGCUUGCAAGCGCUCGCUGAAGGACGAGUCCGCGUACCAUUAGCUAGUUGGUAGGGUAAUGGCCUACCAAGGCGACGAUGGUUAGCUGGUCUGAGAGGAUGAUCAGCCACACUGGAACUGAGACACGGUCCAGACUCCUACGGGAGGCAGCAGUGAGGAAUCUUGCGCAAUGGGGGCAACCCUGACGCAGCAACGCCGCGUGAGUGAGGAAGGUCUUCGGAUCGUAAAGCUCUGUCAGUUGGGAAGAAACACAUGGGGGUGAAUAUCCCUCAUGCUUGACGGUACCAACAGAGGAAGCACCGGCUAACUCCGUGCCAGCAGCCGCGGUAAUACGGGGGGUGCAAGCGUCGUUCGGAAUUAUUGGGCGUAAAGAGCGUGUAGGCGGCCGGAUGUGUCAGAUGUGAAAGCCCUGGGCUUAACCCAGGAAGUGCAUUUGAAACUGUUCGGCUAGAGUAGGGGAGAGGGAAGUGGAAUUCCUGGUGUAGAGGUGAAAUUCGUAGAUAUCAGGAGGAACACCGGUGGCGAAGGCGACUUCCUGGCCCUAUACUGACGCUGAGACGCGAGAGCGUGGGUAGCAAACAGGAUUAGAUACCCUGGUAGUCCACGCCGUAAACGAUGUUCACUAGGUGUUGGGGGUAUUGACCCCCUCAGUGCCGCAGCUAACGCAUUAAGUGAACCGCCUGGGGAGUACGGUCGCAAGACUA
rnacentral:rRNA from 1 species